GAUGAAGAACGCAGCGAAAUGCGCUAAGUAAUGUGAAUUGCAGAAUUCAGUGAAUCAUCGAAUCUUUGAACGCACAUUGCGCCCGCCAGUAUUCUGGCGGGCAUGCCUGUUCGAGCGUCAUUACAACCCUCAGGCCCCCGGGCCUGGCGUUGGGGAUCGGCGGAGCCCCCCGUGGGCACACGCCGUCCCCCAAAUGCAGUGGCGGUCCCGCCGCAGCUUCCAUCGCGUAGUAGCUAACACCUCGCGACUGGAGAGCGGCGCGGCCACGCCGUAAAACACCCAACUCUUCUGAAGUUGACCUCGAAUCAGGUAGGAAUACCCGCUGAACUUAAGCAUAUCAAUAAGCGGAGGA
rnacentral:misc_RNA from 1 species